rnacentral:rRNA from 1 species
CGCAACGGGAGGAGCGUGCGGUUCAANUNNAUUCAACGCCGGAAAACUCACCGGGGGCGACGGAGGGAUGAAAGCCAGGCUGAAGACCUUGCCCGAUUCUCCGAGAGGUGGUGCAUGGCCGUCGUCAGUUCGUACCGUAAGGCGUUCUGUUAAGUCAGAUAACGAACGAGACCCUCGCCUUCAGUCGCUAUUUCGUGGGCGACCACGAGAGCACACUGGGGGAUCGCUGCCGCUAAGGCAGAGGAAGGAGAGGUCUACGGUAGGUCCGUAUGCCCCGAAUCUCCCGGGCAACACGCGCGCUACAAAGGUUGGGACAAUGGGAUCCGACCCCGAGAGGGGGAGGCAAUCCUGAAACCCAAUCGUAGUCUGGAUCGAGGGCUGUAACUCGCCCUCGUGAAAAUGGAUUCCGUAGNAAUCGCGGGUCAACAUCCCGCGGUGAAUGUGCCCCUGCUCU